rnacentral:antisense_RNA from 1 species
CAUCAGUCACUUUUUUUUCAUCAUCUUUAAUAUCAGCAUUACUAUUAGUUUCAUU